rnacentral:rRNA from 1 species
AACACUACAUUGAGGAAAUGCUUUGUAGCUGACGGUACCUUAUCAGAAAGCGAUGGCUAACUAUGCGCCAGCAGCCGCGGUAAUACAUAGGUCGCAAGCGUUAUCCGGAAUUAUUGGGCGUAAAGCGUUCGUAGGCUGUUUAUUAAGUCUGGAGUCAAAUCCCAGGGCUCAACCUUGGCUCGCUUUGGAUACUGGUAAACUAGAGUUAGAUAGAGGUAAGCGGAAUUCCAUGUGAAGCGGUGAAAUGCGUAGAUAUAUGGAAGAACACCAAAGGCGAAGGCAGCUUACUGGGUCUAUACUGACGCUGAGGGACGAAAGCGUGGGGAGCAAACAGGAUUAGAUACCCUGGUAGUCCACGCCGUAAACGAUGAUCAUUAGUCGGUGGGUUAUUCACUGACGCAGCUAACGCAUUAAAUGAUCCGCCUGAGUAGUAUGCUCGCAAGAGUGAAACUUAAAGGAAUUGACGGGGACCCGCACAAGCGGUGGAGCAUGUGGUUUAAUUUGAAGAUACACGGAGAACCUUACCCACUCUUGACAUCUUCCGCAAAGCUAUAGAGAUAUAGUGGAGGUUAACGGAAUGACAGAUGGUGCAUGGUUGUCGUCAGCUCGUGUCGUGAGAUGUUUGGUCAAGUCCUGCAACGAGCGCAACCCCUAUCUUCAGUUACUAACGAGUUAUGUCGAGGACUCUGGAGAUACUGCCUGGGUAACUGGGAGGAAGGUGGGGAUGACGUCAAAUCAUCAUGCCUCUUACGAGUGGGGCAACACACGUGCUACAAUGGUCGGUACAAAGAGAAGCAAUAUGGCGACAUGGAGCAAAUCUCAAAAAGCCGAUCUCAGUUCGGAUUGAAGUCUGCAACUCGACUUCAUGAAGUCGGAAUCGCUAGUAAUCGCAGAUCAGCUAUGCUGCGGUGAAUACGUUCUCGGGUCUUGUACACACCGCCCGUCACACCAUGGGAGCUGGUAAUACCCAAAGUCGGUUUGCUAACCUCGGAGGCGACUG